rnacentral:lncRNA from 1 species
CCUGUCCUAGACUAACAUAAAAUAAAUAUCUUUCUUCGGACCUUAAGCCCAAUUCCUCCACCUGUCCAAGUAAUAGUAAGUAAAAUGACAAGGGCUUAGGCCCAAUAAUAACAAAAUACAAUUCCGAAUAAAUAAAGGUAGGCUUUGGCCCAAUCUUUUUCAACUCCCGAUUUGCUCCAAUUCCUCCACCUGUCCAAGUAAUAGUAAGUAAAAUGACAAGGGCUUAGGCCCAAUAAUAACAAAAUACGAUUCCGAAUAAAUAAAGGUGGGCUUUUGGCCCAAUCUUUUUUAACUCCCGAUUUGCUCCGCUUUUCUUUCAAUUUCGAGACUUGUUCGUUGAUU